UACGUGAUCCCCAAGCGUUAUCCGGAUUUAUUGGGCGUAAAGCGCUCGUAGGCGGUUGGAAAAGUCUCUGGUUAAAUGCUCAUGGCUCAACCUUGAGAAUGCCGGGGAUACUUUCCAACUAGAGGACGUUAGGGGCUGAUGGAACGGUCGGUGUAGGGGUGAAAUCCGUUGAUAUCGACCGGAACACCAAAAGCGAAGGCAUUCAGCUGGGACGAUCCUGACGCUGAGGAGCGAAAGCGUGGGUA
rnacentral:rRNA from 1 species